AGGAUAUGACAAUAACAAUUUUAAAAACAUGACAUACAUGCAAAGUGCAUAUAAGAAUGGAGUGCACAACAAUGGUUUGUAUAGCGAUGUAAUCUUGAACGAAUCAACCAUGAAUGGGACAUAUAAUAUUAUAAAUCCGAACUUAAUACAUAAUUAUAACAAUAUCAGCAACAUAAAUGACAGUUAUAAUAAAACAAAAAAAGAAAAAAAAAAUAAAAAACAAAUAAAAGUGGAAAACAAUAACCCAGCUUUAAACAAAAAAGUAAAAAAGGUUAACACACAUAGUGAUAAUGUAACAGCUUAUAAUAACAAUAAUAUAUAUAUAAGUAAUUAUAGCAAUGAUGAAAAUGUAAAAAGUGAGACCCUUACUACUUGUGAUUCCAAAAACGAAAAGGAUAUAGAACAAAACGAAAUUGUUAAAGCGGUUAGUCAGACUAGUAACGAUGCUGCUAGCAACACUUGUAGCAACACUUGUAAUAACAGUUGUAGCAAUACUAAUGGUCCUAUUAAUAAUGAACACCCACAAACCAAUCUUAGCGACGAUGUUAAAAAAAACAGCUUCCAUACCGACUGUAAUAAAGAAACGAUUAAUCCUUUUCAUUUAACAAAACCAGUACAUAAUAAAAACAAUUAUUUAAAUAAACAUAACAAACAUAAUAAUAAGCAUAUAAAUAGUAGUUCUUACCCUGAAUAUAAUAACCUUCCUAUAAAUACUCUGAACGAUACACAAAUAGAGAAUGACACUUAUGUAAAUAAUAACAUGGGUUAUAACAGAAAUAGUAACACUAAUUACAACAAUCACUUUAUGAAUAGAAAUCCCGAUUUUAUUAUACCACAUCAUAAUAAAAAAAAAUAUAAUAAUUCAUUUUUGUCACAAAAAAGUUUAUAUACACAACAAUCUGUUAAAGUAUUUAAUAAACAUAGAUAUAACGAAAAUUAUAAAUUUAAUCACUUUUAUAAUGGUAAUCAUACAAAUGCAUAUUAUAAUAAUAUUAAUGACACUAAUACGUCUAUUGGUACUAAUAAUAAUAGUACUAAUUCCCCCAACAAUAACAAUAAUAAUAGCUAUAAUUUUCCACUACCGUAUUAUAAUUAUAGUUAUAAUGAAUUUGUUUAUUAUUAUUACUAUUUACAGAAUUAUUUUUACAACAGUUAUCAAUUUUUACAUAAUUCAGCUGGUCAUCUUACACAGCAUAUUAAUGCAACCGCAGCAGCAGCAACAACAGCAGCAACAACAGCAGCAACCACAACCACAACCGCAGCAACAGCAACAGCAACAGCAACAGCAACAGCAACCGCAGCAACAGCAUUACCCAACCAUCCUUGUUACGCAGAAAAAAACGAAAAACAUUUUUUAUAUCCGCAUAAUAUUUAUCCCAUCGAAAUGAUGAAAAAUAACAAUAUUAACAUGUACAUAAAUGAUAAUACUAACAUAGACAACGCUACUUUAAUAACACAUGAUAUCAUAAACAAAAACGAUAAUAGUAUCAGCAUAUGUAACACUAAUCAAGUAAAUACCUAUAAUCACAAUGAUAUACAUACAGGUACUGAACUGGUAGAAUGGUAUAAUAAUAGUCAGUUACCUAUUCCAUAUAUAC
ensembl:lncRNA